rnacentral:rRNA from 1 species
UACGUAGGUGGCAAGCGUUGUCCGGAUUUAUUGGGUUUAAAGGGUGCGUAGGCGGUCUAUUAAGUCAGUGGUGAAAUACUCCAGCUUAACUGGAGGGGUGCCAUUGAUACUGAUGGACUUGAGUGAAGUCGAGGUAGGCGGAAUUGACGGUGUAGCGGUGAAAUGCUUAGAUAUCGUCAAGAACACCAAUAGUGAAGACAGCUUACUAGGCUUAUACUGACGCUGAGGCACGAAAGUGUGGGGAUCAAACAGG